rnacentral:tRNA from 1 species
GGAGGAGUUGCCGAGUGGUCGAUGGCGGCGGUCUUGAAAACCGUUGACGUGUAUGCGUCCGUGGGUUCGAAUCCUACCUCCUCCGCCA